rnacentral:tRNA from 1 species
GCGGCCAUGGCGGGAUUGGGAGACGCGCUAGCUUGAGGUGCUAGGCCCGAGAGGGGUGGAGGGUCGAGUCCUCUUGGCCGCACCA